rnacentral:rRNA from 1 species
UACGGGGGGGGAAAGCGUUGUUCGGAUUUACUGGGCGUAAAGGGCGCGUAGGCGGCGCAACAAGUCACUUGUGAAAUCUCCGGGCUUAACUCGGAGCGGCCAAGUGAUACUGUCGUGCUAGAGUGCGGAAGGGGCAACUGGAAUUCUCGGUGUAGCGGUGAAAUGCGUAGAUAUCGAGAGGAACACCUGCGGCGAAGGCGGGUUGCUGGGCCGACACUGACGCUGAGGCGCGAAAGCCAGGGGAGCGAACGGG